CUCUCAUCUCCCUGCCAAGACCUCAAAUAAAAUCGUUUCCUCCUGAAAAUGCCCAUCUCGGAACCUUGGCUGUGCCCCGAGGGAGGCACCGGAAUGGCAAAAGUGAGGACAUACGGCUGCCAGCAUCGUCUAUGCUCUAGAUAGGGGUCAAAUGUCAACUUUCUGCCAGGUCCAGCCCGGAUGUGAGGGCUGUGAAGGCAACAACCAAGGAACCAUUCCUUCGGAUGGAAGUCCUAUGGCAGAGAGAAGCUGAUGUUUGAAUUUUCCUGUAGAGCCCUUGAGGUUCCAUGAAUCAGUCUGGGAAGGAUGCAGGUUAAGUGGGAAGCAGAAGCCCUCAAUCACGUGAUGACGGAAAAGCCGAAAAGGCUGGGUUAUACCCUUAGGAAACCUAUUUGUUUCUUGGCUCCCUGCAGGGGCAUGCACACUAGCAAAGGCUCAAUCCCUUCAUUAUUCAUUUGAUCACAAAAGAAGGAAUGAGAGGAAAAAUACUUUUAUUUUUCACCAAGCAAUCACCAAGCGCAGUCUCAACGAAGAGCCCCUCCUUCUUUCAUGUCUUCUUUUGUGUGUGACUUACUCAGUCUAAGUUUCAUCCACAGGUAAAGGAACCCAAGCUGGGCCCAAUGCCAAGUGCACUUCUUCAAUGUUACAUUCUGGGACAGGAGAGAGGAUCACUGGUUGAGCCUACCUACUCUGUGGACACAUUGUAAUCCUGAAACUGUUCUGAGCUUCCAUUCAUGGCCAGGACACCUGAUCACUUCAUCGUUGGGUUCUGUGUUUGAAAACUGGGCCAGCUCUGAACCUGGGUGACAGAACACACUGUGGAGAAACCUUGUCUCUAGGAUCUUGCUCAUACACUCUUGGCUCCUCUUGCUCUGGUGGAGCUCCUCAGUGCCCACUGGGAAAGUGAUCUGGCUCCCAAGACCACCAGCCUGUUCAAGUCAUGGAUGGCACCAGUUUUCACAGGCUGAGUGAUUAGAAAACAGACUCUGGGACAGCUGUGUACAUAAGAGUCAUCUGGGCAUUGCUCUUACAAUCCCUGUAGAAGACAAGAGCUCAGAAUCGUCUGAAGAAAACAAACAAACAAACAAACAAACAAGAAAAGCAGAGUUCCUGAACUCUGAGGCUGAUACUAGGACUUAUGGCUAUUCGGUGGAGCAACUCUCUAGCCUUGAUAUGGCAACAGCUGUGUCACUUCCCACCCUAGUCACCAUUUCUCUAAGGGACCUAACCCUGCAUGCUCAUCACCACUGAUAUAUUACUCCUCGCUCAAACUUACUAAAAGUUCCAACUCUGUAGUACCAGAGCAUUAACGUAAGUGUGGCUAGAUCCCAUUGAGCGCAUGGUGUUGGUGCCAUGGCAACACGUGGGCGCAUGCGCACGGGUCUGCCCCUGAGUCCACUGCCCUCAUCGGUUACAUCCCCAAACUGCCAACAUUUGUGUUGUCUUUGAAAAUCAUGAGUCGCUCCUUCCUCCUUCUUGAUCUGUCUGAAAGUUGUCCCCACCCAUAACUUCCCUGUUUAGCCCCAGCCUGUAGAGAAGGCAGCAAGAAGAUGCUUGUAUGGGGCAAUCCAUUUGACCCAGAGAAAAAGAGAACCAAGAGGAUGCAGGCA
rnacentral:lncRNA from 1 species